UACGUAGGGUGCAAGCGUUGUCCGGAAUUAUUGGGCGUAAAGAGCUCGUAGGCGGUCUGUCGCGUCUGCUGUGAAAACUCAGGGCUUAACCCUGAGCUUGCAGUGGGUACGGGCAGACUAGAGUGCGGUAGGGGAGACUGGAAUUCCUGGUGUAGCGGUGAAAUGCGCAGAUAUCAGGAGGAACACCGGUGGCGAAGGCGGGUCUCUGGGCCGAUACUGACGCUGGAGGAGCGAAAGCGUGGGGAGCGAUCCGG
rnacentral:rRNA from 1 species